rnacentral:rRNA from 1 species
GGGGAAUCUUCCGCAAUGGACGAAAGUCUGACGGAGCAACGCCGCGUGAGUGAUGACGGCCUUCGGGUUGUAAAGCUCUGUUAAUCGGGACGAAUGGUUCUUGUGCGAAUAGUGCGAGGAUUUGACGGUACCGGAAUAGAAAGCCACGGCUAAUUACGUGCCAGCAGCCGCGGUAAUACGUAGGUGGCAAGCGUUGUCCGGAAUUAUUGGGCGUAAAGCGCGCGCAGGCGGAUUGGUCAGUCUGUCUUAAAAGUUCGGGGCUUAACCCCGUGAUGGGAUGGAAACUGCCAAUCUAGAGUAUCGGAGAGGAAAGUGGAAUUCCUAGUGUAGCGGUGAAAUGCGUAGAUAUUAGGAAGAACACCAGUGGCGAAGGCGACUUUCUGGACGAAAACUGACGCUGAGGCGCGAAAGCCAGGGGAGCGAACGGGAUUAGAUACCCCGGUAGUCCUGGCCGUAAACGAUGGGUACUAGGUGUAGGAGGUAUCGACCCCUUCUGUGCCGGAGUUAACGCAAUAAGUACCCCGCCUGGGGAGUACGGCCGCAAGGUUG